CCCCUAGAGUCAAUUACAGCCAGUGGGGCCCGCCGAUGUUUUGAUAGUCUUUUCUGGAGUCAUGACAAGGAAAAUGAAAGGACCCACGGGACCUCUUUCGUCACUAACAGCCGGGUAUCACGGUUGGGGGUGGAGGAAGGAAAGAAAAAUCACCUUUUCCCCCUCUCUGAGCUCUUCAGCAGAACUCAAGCCUGGGCGGCCAACAUGUUGGUGUUGAGAAAACAUCUGUUCUCAAGCAGAACUAAUUGGCAACAGAAAUGGAACUCCCCCCCCCGACCCCCCAAAAAAGCAUAGACCUGCUUUAUCCCUGGGUAUUCUGGACGCGUUGUGUGCCACAGCCCAAGCACAGCCAUCAGCCUCACACAGCCAAGGUUAUCACCCGUUACCACCCAUCCCGGCUGACCUUUCUUGCAGUAAGCUAGUUGUCAAGGUCAGUGGCCAAAGCAGCCCAGCCUGGAGGGACACUUGCAUGGCUGUUGCCCGGCACCCCCUCCCUGCUCCCAGGAACAGCAGUUGGCUUGGGGCACCUCACUCCGUGAUUUGCCGUCGCUGGUUUGGAUGGAACUGACGCCUCCUCAGCUCCAAAGAGGAGCCCUGGCAGUUGCUUAAGCCAAUGAGCAUAUCGCAGGGAGGUCUCGGGAAUGGGCCUCCAACUCAACUAGAAACAAUAAGGCAUGAGAAGGAACAUUCCACGAGACUUCUGGAAAAGAGGGCUCUUGCCAUUUUAGAGGUGCAGAGAGGUAAAGUAAUUUGCUCAGUCACACAGCAUACUCGUUGGGGGUCCAGGAUUUGAACCCAAGUCUGUAGGAAUGAAGAGUUUGUGACACCUAACUGCUAGGCUCUGCCAAGAGACGGCAUAAACUCUAGAAGAAGCCAGACAAGCUGGAUCCUAACCCAGUUCUGGCAUUUACUGCAUGAUUUCAGGCAAAUUACUUAACCUCUCUGUUCUUUAGUUUUCAGAUCUUCAAAGUAGGGCUUAAAGAGCACCUCUACUUGCAGGCUCUGAAGGGCGAAUGAGUUAGUAACAACACAUGUAAAGCGUGUGGAAUAGUGCCUGUCACGGGGUGCGGCUUUGCCCCAUCCCGUCACGCUAUUUCUCACACGCGGGGAGAAUCAGACUAAAUAAAGGCAGGUGGGGGCGGGGAGGAAGGAGAGGUCGAUGCUGUCGGGGCAAGGUCUCUAUCCCCUACCCCGAUUUUCCUUCCUGAGGCGCAGUGGUCAGGCUCGGUUCCCCUCCAGGAGCAGCUGUACCACAAAGAACUCACAGCCAGCUCACGGCUUUGUGUAUUCUCAGACCUGGCGAGACAGAGCCAGUGGCAGCCAGGCCUGUCCGUGUCGGGGUGGUCAAGAUACGGGGAAGUGCCACUCAUUCAAGUGACAAAAGGUAAGACCUCUAACUAAUGCCACAUGGUGGAGGGCGGAUGUGAAUUGGUACAGAGGCAUCAGAAAAUAAUCUAUGACUUCAUAUUCCCUACAACCUAGCAAUUCCUGUUGCACACCUGAGAUGCACACCAGCACGAAUGUAGUAGGACAGGUGUAAGAACACUCAGAGGAGAACUGUUUGUAACAGCCAACAGACAUGUGGGUAAAAGCCCAAAUGCCCGUGGACGCGGCAAACCAUGGACUAGUAUAGAGCCGGGAAAUGCUGCAUCUACAGCAAGCUCUCUGCUGCCAUAUGGAUGGGUUAUAGUGCUAAAAUGCUUUAAGAAAGUUUAAGUCCACAAGACACGUAUAGUCAACUUAAAGUCACAUUUGGAGCUUAAAGUUCAAAAAUAAGCGACAGUAAAUAAUAUAUAUUAAUAUAUUUGUUGGCAUCAAUAUGUGAGUGGCAGUACUUUUUUUAAAACGAGGGAAAUCAGAAUGAUGAAAAAGUUUUGGAGAUGGAGGGUGGUGAUGGUUGCAGAACACUGUGAAUGUACGAAAUGCCACUGAAUUGUAUACCUAAAAAUGGAAAAGAUGGGAAAUUUUAUUUUACGUACCAAGGGAAAGAUUAACAAAAUUCAUGAUAGACAGUGGGAAGGAGGAUGGUCGCAUGGUUAUAAACAGCUGUCUAAGUUCUGGGUUAUGGAUUGGGUGGUGGGUACACAGGUGUUUUUAUAUUUUAUAAAGAGCUACAGUGAGCUGCUUAGAUGAAAGGGUAAACCGGGCCAUCCAGGUGCCUCUUUCACCUGGGUUGUGAUUAAUUCACUUCUGCCAGAGGUCCAUUUUUGAAGACUUGAGGAAAGCUCUUUGGACCUGGAUUUGGGGACCAGGGAUCUAAUGCCCCCAACCCUCCGGCAAGUGAGAAAAGACCUUGAACCUUCCCGCUGCUGUCACCCAGGCAGUAGCCUCUUUGGCGUCUGGUGGCUGGAGGCCUCCCGUGGUCUGGAGGGACCACUUAAGCCCACCUACUCCCGCCUCCACCUGCAGGGUCCUCCCCUCCCCCACCACUCACUGCCCCGCGCAGAGCGUAGAGAGCCACACUGCGCAUGCUCCUCAGGGGAGGGCUGCCUGCAGCGCGACGCGACGCGGGCGGGCGGGUGGUGGGGAUUCCAUUCAAGGGACACCUCGGUAGCAGCCACCUGGCCACGACAGCGUCCGCGUCCCAGACUCUGCCCGACUCCGGGCUCGUCCGAACUCGGGCAUAACCUAGAAAGCCAUCUUCGCAUUCCCAGAAUGACUUCCCCAGCUGAGGAAUUCGGCGUUCAGGGUUGCGGCUUUCUUCUGUGCUUUUAUGAGAGCCCCCGCUCAAGGCAUCUUCUACAAUUUGUUGAGUUGGAAGAGAAACAAGGCAAAUGGCAGGAAAAUCAAAUGAGAUCAUGACUUCACCAGAGCAAAACCGAGAUCCCUCGCCCCCAGUGAAAGCAAACAAAAGCUGGAAGAGAACGAGUUCGACCUGAUCUCCUCCGCCUUCUCCACCCCCAUCUCCAGGCCCAGACCCGGAGACGCCGGGGUUCAGAGGGGAGACUCAGAGUCCCAGAGCGCCCUCCACCCCGAGAAAGACCCAGAGCUGCCCUUGGGAUUCCAGGACAAGGAACCAGAGGAGUGUCCUCUAAGGAGGCUGCUGGGCGGGAUCACGAUAAGCGUCCAGGGACCGUGCCCUCCAGCUCCGCUGCUCCACCCAUGGCCAUCUGGGACUUGCUGGGACCAACAAAUUGAGGCAGACGUGGUGGCCCUCCAGCUUCGGAACCAUCGUUCACCCUGCAUCUGUCUUUGCUUUCACGUUCUUGGAAUCUCAAGACCUCAGAGGGUGAAGAGGGGGCCAGCCUCCUAGAAGAUGGACGGGAGCCAUGGCACCUGAGCCGGAGCCAGACUGCUGCUGGCCACGCGAGGGCAGCCAUCUGGACCCUCCAGCCCUCGUCGAGUGGUCAGGUGACCACGGUCACACGCAUGAGCCCAGGAGAGGCCAGCAGAACCACCCAGUGUGCCAGUAAGACACGACCAGCUGGCCCUUUCCUGGAGCCAUCAAGGCUUGGGUGGUUUGUUACACAGCAGCUAGAGCUCCAAUCAUUGUUAACACAGUGAAAGCGGAGGCUCGGCCUUGAAACCACAGCCGUAAAGAGGAUUCCAGCAUGACACAGGGAUGACAGCACUUUCUGGAGGCUUUGCCCGAACACCCCUACUGCGUCCUUAGCACAUUCAUUAGGAUUCCGGGAGCCCAACCCUGCUUUGGCUUUUCGCUUGCACGUUAAAUAUUUGACCACCAUUUCCCACCUGAAAGAAAGAGCUACCUUUAGCACUGGGGACACAGAUACAUUUGGCACAAUAAUGUCUUCUAAGAACUCUCAGGACAACAAAGGAGGUAGACAAGAACCUUAUUGUAUUCGCUCAGCAAAUAUCUGUGUCCCAGGCACUAUGCAGAGGGCUGGGAAUACAAUGAUAGGAAAGCCACAAAUCCAGACUCACAGGAUCGGAGCCUGGCCCUGAAGGGGACGCUGCUGAAAAGAAAAUGCAUUAACGGAUAAUGGCAAACAGUGCUAAAUGCUGUGAAGCAGCAGCUCAGAUGGCUCUGGAAGAGAAUUAGUCUGGUGAGAGGAGGCCAGAAAGGUUUUACUGGAGGAAGAGCAUUUCGCACAAAGACUCGAAAGAGCAGAUGAAGUGCCUGGCCAAAGCGGAGGGGAAGAAGGUUCCAGGCCCGAGGGAAUAUGGCGGUGGCCCUCACCAGGAGCAGUUAGGUUAACCUAGAACCCAACUCUAUUGUACCUUUAGACACAGAGUGGCUUUUGCCUGGUUUUACCAUACAUUGAAUUUUCCUGGAAUGCAAGGACCAUGCCAGUUGAGAGAAGGCUGAGGUGGAUUUGCUUGGGGAUUCACACUGGUCACCCUCCUGGAGGGAGAGCACUGGCAGCAACUCCACUCCACGUGCUGGCGGCACAUGAGCGGUCAACACCCCACACCUAGACCUGCCCGCACGUGGAGCGGUCCCUCUCACCUGUUUCUUCCUGUUCUGCUCAAGCACCUGCCUCCUUCAUUGGGACUUGCAGCAUUAUAAUAUAUAUGGUUUUAUUAUACAUUCCACUUAUUCUUCCUUAUUUGAGAGUUUCAGAAUGACAUGUGUAUGUUUUCAAUCCAAUGAGUAGGUAGGUUAUAUUAUUUAUGAGGUUCAUUUUGGGGUAGACAAAGCAGCCCUGGAUCUGAUGAGGUUAAAACCACAGGUUAAGACCUGCCUUUCGCUGUGGGACAGGGAGUUGGGCUGGUGUAAGAACUACCAGGAGGAAGGGGGUUGGAGCCCAGAGACCUGGGAGCAGGGUGGGACCAGAUGAGGCUGGCAGAGGACUGGGGACAUCACAACCCUCGACUCUGCCGGAGGGGAUGCGAAAAGGUACCAUCUGGUGGUACCUCCGAGGUGCAACAUGGAACAUCACCCGAAACAGCCAGUCCGUUCCUAGGCAUAGACCCAAGAGAAGUGGAAACAUGUCCUGAACACAGAUGUUCACAGCAGCACUAUUCGUAUGAGCCCAAAAGAAGAAACAACUAAAAUGCCCAUCAACUAGUGAAUGCAUGAACCAAAGAGUAGGUUCUUCAUAUAAUGGAAUAUUAUUCAGCCACAGAAAGGAAUGAACUACUGAUACAUACUGUGAUAUGGACGAACCGUGAAAACGCUCUGCUGAGUGAAAGAAGCCAGACGCAAAAGGCCACAGAGUAUGCAGUUCAGUUUACAUGAAAUGUCCAGAAGAGGCAAAUCCACAGAAGCAGAAAGAAGAUUUGGGGUUGCCAGAGGCUGGGGCUGAGGAGGUGAUGGAAAGUGACUGACAGCGGGUCUGGAGUUUCCUUGGCGGGCGAUGGAAAUAUUUUGGACUUAAAGAGUGGUGAGAAUGGUGCGACUUUGUUAAUAUUGUAAGUAAAACAACAUCAACAGUGAUAAAGACUGGAUGGUAUGCCUUAAAGGGGUGACUUUUAAUGGCAUUUGAGUUAGAUCUCAAAUAAAACCAACAGAGGACGCUGAAGAGAUAGACAGGGUCACCGCAUUGGAGGCAUCACGGCCCUAGUCGAAGAGUUUGAUUCUCAACCUCGGACUGGUGGGAGCCACUGACGGUUUUAGGCAUCACGGUGACAAUAUAGUUUUGCAGUUGAGAAAGAUCUCUGUGUAGAGUGGACUAGAGAUGGGCCGCUUCGAAGGCCACAAAAAGCCAGGUAUCUGGAGCCACACCUGGCUUCAGGCUUGAGCAGGUGAGGAGGCGGGCCCACCCUCGGGGACGCUGCGAGACCACCAUGUGGACAGCCGUCUUCUAGAACAGCUGUCACGGGGGGACAACCAUGCUUGAGGAGACAAGAGCUGGGAGAAAUUGCUUUAGACGGGGCGGGGGGGAGCCUGUGGGAAGACAUUGUAGGAGAGGCGGCCUUGGAGCAGAACUUUUGGUGCAGGGCAGGCAAAGAUUCUAAGGGCCUGCUGGGAAGAAGGGAUCACAGAAGCAGAAGCGCGGAGGCCAGGAGGGCCCAGGUUAAAUGGGCUUCUGUUUAGCCGGGUCAGAAGGGAAGCAAAGGCGUUCUCUCGUGGCCCAGCAGGGUUAAGGACCCAGCGUUGUGACUGCAGCAGCCUGGGUGGCUGCUGUGGCAGUGGGUUUCAUCCCUUUGAUCCCUGGCCCGGGAACUUCCAUAUGCCAUGGGUGGGGCCAAGAAGGAGGGGGGCAAACGUUAUGGUAAUGUAUUAGGGUUCUCCAGAGAAACAAAACCAAUAGGAACUAUAUAGAUACAUGUAUAUACAAGAGAAGAUUUAUUAUAGGAAUUGGUUUAUGUGACUCUGGAGACCAGGAGGUCCCAGAUCUGUCCUCUGUAAGCCAGAGAACCAGGGAAGCUGGUGGCGUAAUGCAGCCUGAGGACAGGGGACCUGAUGGCGUGUGUCCCGAUCCAAGUCUGAAGGCCAGAGACCUGAGAGCACCAGUCACCAAGGACAAGACGAGGGGGCUGUUCCAGCUCAGACCAGGACAGACGUGCUCCUCCUUGGCCUUAUCGCUCUGUUCAGGCCUCUCCGAUCAGAGCCGCCCAUGAGCAUCAGCGAGGGUCUCCUCUGUCCUUCCUCAGACUCCCGAUUCACACGCUCAUCUCUCCCAGAAACAGCCCUCAGAGACGCACCCUGCAAUGCGGUUUCACCAGCCAUCCGGGCAACCCGUCGUGCAUUAAGCUUACCACCACCCUGACGCCCGCACGCAGCUCCUUCAACCGCAUUUCCUCGCCUCGUGGAGACAUCAGCCGGGUCUUAACGCCCCCUGACACGGAACCACCGUCCCGCCUCCACCAGAAAACGCCCUGAUCUGACCCCUCCCGUUUCUCACAGCCUCCCCGCGAGGCUUUAGCGCUUCUCCACGGGAGACCGAGGUUCACAGGGAUCUCACGGACUUGACCCAGAAGUCCCACAGCCACACAAGGGCUGGCUGGCUUCUCAUCUCAGGUCUAUUUGAACACAACCACUGCACAAGGUGGGUUCAGGCCAACUCGUAGCGUGAGGACUUUAUUUCACAGUCAGUAAAGUCGUUCCUUCUCUUCCUGCACCAUAAAACUCCUAAAACUCA